UACGGGGGGGGCAAGCGUUGUUCGGAAUUACUGGGCGUAAAGGGCUCGUAGGCGGCCAACUAAGUCAGACGUGAAAUCCCUCGGCUUAACCGGGGAACUGCGUCUGAUACUGGAUGGCUUGAAUCCGGAAGAGGAGAGUGGAAUUCCUGGUGAUAGCGGUGAAAUGACGCAGAUAUCAGGAAGAACACCCGUGGCGAAGGCGGCUCUCUGGGACGGUAC
rnacentral:rRNA from 1 species